AUGGCCUCCACGCAGAUGGUGCAUAUGAAUCAAGGACAAGGGGAAACAAGCUAUGCUCGCAAUUCCGGUAUUCAGAACGCUCUGCAGAACAGGAUGAAGCCCCUGAUAGAAGCAGCCAUCGCUGAGUUAUGCAGCAGCACUAACACCUUGUUCCCCGAAAAAAUGCUGAUCGCGGACUUGGGCUGCUCCUCUGGACCAAACGCACUAGCACUGGUAUCGAUUGCCGUCGAGGCCAUCCACAGCCACUGCCUUCAGUUACAGCAGCCACCACCGGAAGUGUGUGUGCUCCUAAAUGACCUGCCUGACAACGACUUCAACACGGUGGUGAAGAGCCUGGUCACACUCCAUCAAAGCAACGAGCCUGCUGUUGUGACGGUUGGGAUCAUGCCGGGGUCGUUUUAUGAGAGGCUCUUCACUAGUGGCUCCAUGCAUCUUUUCUGCUCGUUGAACAGCCUGAAUUGGCUCUCAAAGGCUCCUGAAGAUCUAACGAAGAACUGGAUUCCGGCGUACGAUGUUGAUGAGCAUGCUAGGCGUGAAAGGUUCCCUGUGGUUCUUGAGGCUUAUGCACAACAAUUCAGGAAAGAUUUCACAUUUUUUUAG
rnacentral:rRNA from 1 species